GUACCAAUUCUUUCAUUGUGUUCUGUUUGUGGGUGUGUUUAUGUGUCCACAUAUGUGUGUAUGUUAUUCCUAUAUUUAGAACAAAUUAAUCACUCAUCAAUACAAAAAGAAGCCUCUUUGUUUCUUCCAGUUAGAACUGUAUUCAUUACCUUCUAGAGUGGAAAGUAUUUCCUUUGAAUAAGAAUAAAUCUUAUAUCCAGAAUAAAAGAAGUUAAUUGCACAGUUACCAAUUAUCAUUGACAAAAUUUCUAGAUAAUUUAAAAACAAUCAUGAUAGGGUUAUCUGCAUAGUUGUAACUUAAUUAUUUUGCAAUUGAAAAAUUCAAAGUUCAAGAGAUGAUGUAUUUAUCUGCCGUAAGUUGUCAAAUAUCCCUUAUAUUUAUUAAUCUAUGUCUAUAAUUUAUAUAAAAGUACGAAUAGGGGCAAACUUGUGAACUGAUUAAAAAUUUUAUGAUUAAAUUUAUCUAUUUAAAAAAGAUCUAUGUUAUUGCAUUAAAUUUUUAUUUAUAAAAUUUUUUUUAAUAAAUUAUGUAAAUUUAUUAUAAACAUGGACACACAUGCUACUUUUUAACUCAAUUGUCAAUGACAUUUGAAGUCCAAAACAUUUGGGAUUUGGUAAUCCGCUUCAUAUAAUUAAUUUUAAUUGCAUUGGUUUUUAAAUAUUUUUUAAAUUUAAAGUUUAUUACUUUAACAUAGUUCUUAACAUUUUUGUUUAGGGAACAGUUUUUAAAUUUUUAAUAUAUCUAUAUUAUUGUCUUUGAGCAAUUGUAGUAUCAAAAUCAAGAUUCAUCAAUAAUCUGAAUGCAAGUUAUAAUUUUAACUUUUAGCUCUUUUAAUAUUGUAUACACUCUAUCACAAGCUGGUUGCACAAGCCAUGUAAAAAUAUAACUGAAGAUAUGGGGUGGAUGCUAAUUCUCUUAAUAGCAUGUUCGCAUGUAAUUUAUGUUUUAUGCGAUUGUGGUUGUGUUGUUGGAAGAUUGAUGUGUACAGCCCUUGGUGUCAAUUGGAAAGAAUGUUGCACGCACAAGACUGCAUUGAUGUAAUGUUUGUUUCAGUUUUUCUUCCUAUGCAGAAUUUUGAGUUUUACUAUGGUUUUAGUCAUGUUGAAUAAUAUAUAUUUUAUAAUAUUAUAUUUUUUAUUUUUUGCUUUUUCAAUCUAAUCAUUUCUUUCUUUAUCCUAAAUUAAUAUUUCAAUUAAUAUGGAAGAAACAUAUCAAAUCAUAGAAGAUCAGAAAGAAUGGAGUAUUAAAGUCAUGGAGAAUUGCUCAUGUUGCAUGUGCCGCAAAAACUAGUUUGGUCAAUACAUAGAACUUGGAUUCUAAAUUAUUGGCCUUGAUGCAAUUGUGCUACUUAACAUGAUACAUUAUUUUCUAUUGCGUGGAGAGAUUUUUAAACUUGCAGUUUUUUGUUAUUUUUUAAGUACUGUCUCUAUUUUCCUUUAUAUUUUUAUUAGGGCUUUCAAAGGGAGAAGGAUUGCUUCCUUCCUUCCCUUCUAUUUUCCUUUUACGGCCAUUCUAUUUUCUCGCCAAAUGAUAAAUUAACUAAAGAAGAAAUGGUUACCAAGGUAACUUUGACUGGGACCAGCUGUGAUCCCACAUAGAUAAGUGAAUAAAUACCUUGUUUAUAAAACAAGAUAGCAAUGGUGUUCAGAAUUUUGGCUCGUCUGAGUAGACCUUGUUGUACAAAUUCAAUUUUGGAGCAUGACACUUGACAAAAAUUGAAAGCUCAAAAACACAAAUAGAAUGCCAGAAGAAGAAAACGUGCACAUUGAGUUGGUCAUUCGAGGACCAUGAAUGUGAUCAUUUUCAUGUUCAUCUCUUGAUCGGCAUAAUUAUGUGAUGCGGAGCAUCAAGCAAGUCAAAUAACAAUGGAAGCAUAUUGGUGUGAAAAGAAGGAAAAAUAUCAAUUUUUAGCAACUUUGAACAAGUUGAUUUUUUAAUCUCCAACAGUCCUAAUUCAUCUAGGACAUCUUGUAAAGACUUCCAGCAGCUCUAGAAAUUAGAUUAGAAUUAAUUA
rnacentral:misc_RNA from 1 species